rnacentral:rRNA from 1 species
AGCUCCAAUAGCGUAUAUUAAAGUUGUUGUGGUUGAAAAGCUCGUAGUUGGAUCUCAACAGACCCGGAUCGGUUUACUUUGUGUAAUACUGAUCCGGACCUGUGCUUUUGCUGGAGGUUUAGGGGUGCUCUUAACCGAGUGUCUCUGAGUGCCAGCAGGUUUACUUUGCUCAAGGAAGGCUGUUAUGCCUGAAAAUUUGUGCAUGGAAUAAUAGAAUAGGAUGUUGAUCUUAUUUUGUUGGUUUUCAAGACUCGACAUAAUGAUUAAUAGGGACAGUCGGGGGCAUUUGUAUUCAAACGACAGAGGUGAAAUUCUUGGACCGUUUGAAGACAAACUACUGCGAAAGCAUUUGCCAAGAAUGUUUUCA